rnacentral:rRNA from 1 species
UUCGACACACUAUCAUUAACUGAAUCCAUAGGUUAAUGAGGCGAACCGGGGGAACUGAAACAUCUAAGUACCCCGAGGAAAAGAAAUCAACCGAGAUUCCCCCAGUAGCGGCGAGCGAACGGGGAGCAGCCCAGAGCCUGAAUCAGUAUGUGUGUUAGUGGAAGCGUCUGGAAAGGCGCGCGAUACAGGGUGACAGCCCCGUACACAAAAAUGCACAUGCUGUGAGCUCGAUGAGUAGGGCGGGACACGUGGUAUCCUGUCUGAAUAUGGGGGGACCAUCCUCCAAGGCUAAAUACUCCUGACUGACCGAUAGUGAACCAGUACCGUGAGGGAAAGGCGAAAAGAACCCCGGCGAGGGGAGUGAAAAAGAACCUGAAACCGUGUACGUACAAGCAGUGGGAGCACGCUUAGGCGUGUGACUGCGUACCUUUUGUAUAAUGGGUCAGCGACUUAUAUUCUGUAGCAAGGUUAACCGAAUAGGGGAGCCGAAGGGAAACCGAGUCUUAACUGGGCGUUAAGUUGCAGGGUAUAGACCCGAAACCCGGUGAUCUAGCCAUGGGCAGGUUGAAGGUUGGGUAACACUAACUGGAGGACCGAACCGACUAAUGUUGAAAAAUUAGCGGAUGACUUGUGGCUGGGGGUGAAAGGCCAAUCAAACCGGGAGAUAGCUGGUUCUCCCCGAAAGCUAUUUAGGUAGCGCCUCGUGAAUUCAUCUCCGGGGGUAGAGCACUGUUUCGGCAAGGGGGUCAUCCCGACUUACCAACCCGAUGCAAACUGCGAAUACCGGAGAAUGUUAUCACGGGAGACACACGGCGGGUGCUAACGUCCGUCGUGAAGAGGGAAACAACCCAGACCGCCAGCUAAGGUCCCAAAGUCAUGGUUAAGUGGGAAACGAUGUGGGAAGGCCCAGACAGCCAGGAUGUUGGCUUAGAAGCAGCCAUCAUUUAAAGAAAGCGUAAUAGCUCACUGGUCGAGUCGGCCUGCGCGGAAGAUGUAACGGGGCUAAACCAUGCACCGAAGCUGCGGCAGCGACGCUGAUGCGUUGUUGGGUAGGGGAGCGUUCUGUAAGCCUGCGAAGGUGUGCUGUGAGGCAUGCUGGAGGUAUCAGAAGUGCGAAUGCUGACAUAAGUAACGAUAAAGCGGGUGAAAAGCCCGCUCGCCGGAAGACCAAGGGUUCCUGUCCAACGUUAAUCGGGGCAGGGUGAGUCGACCCCUAAGGCGAGGCCGAAAGGCGUAGUCGAUGGGAAACAGGUUAAUAUUCCUGUACUUGGUGUUACUGCGAAGGGGGGACGGAGAAGGCUAUGUUGGCCGGGCGACGGUUGUCCCGGUUUAAGCGUGUAGGCUGGUUUUCCAGGCAAAUCCGGAAAAUCAAGGCUGAGGCGUGAUGACGAGGCACUACGGUGCUGAAGCAACAAAUGCCCUGCUUCCAGGAAAAGCCUCUAAGCAUCAGGUAACAUCAAAUCGUACCCCAAACCGACACAGGUGGUCAGGUAGAGAAUACCAAGGCGCUUGAGAGAACUCGGGUGAAGGAACUAGGCAAAAUGGUGCCGUAACUUCGGGAGAAGGCACGCUGAUAUGUAGGUGAAGUCCCUCGCGGAUGGAGCUGAAAUCAGUCGAAGAUACCAGCUGGCUGCAACUGUUUAUUAAAAACACAGCACUGUGCAAACACGAAAGUGGACGUAUACGGUGUGACGCCUGCCCGGUGCCGGAAGGUUAAUUGAUGGGGUUAGCGCAAGCGAAGCUCUUGAUCGAAGCCCCGGUAAACGGCGGCCGUAACUAUAACGGUCCUAAGGUAGCGAAAUUCCUUGUCGGGUAAGUUCCGACCUGCACGAAUGGCGUAAUGAUGGCCAGGCUGUCUCCACCCGAGACUCAGUGAAAUUGAACUCGCUGUGAAGAUGCAGUGUACCCGCGGCAAGACGGAAAGACCCCGUGAACCUUUACUAUAGCUUGACACUGAACAUUGAGCCUUGAUGUGUAGGAUAGGUGGGAGGCUUUGAAGUGUGGACGCCAGUCUGCAUGGAGCCGACCUUGAAAUACCACCCUUUAAUGUUUGAUGUUCUAACGUUGACCCGUAAUCCGGGUUGCGGACAGUGUCUGGUGGGUAGUUUGACUGGGGCGGUCUCCUCCUAAAGAGUAACGGAGGAGCACGAAGGUUGGCUAAUCCUGGUCGGACAUCAGGAGGUUAGUGCAAUGGCAUAAGCCAGCUUGACUGCGAGCGUGACGGCGCGAGCAGGUGCGAAAGCAGGUCAUAGUGAUCCGGUGGUUCUGAAUGGAAGGGCCAUCGCUCAACGGAUAAAAGGUACUCCGGGGAUAACAGGCUGAUACCGCCCAAGAGUUCAUAUCGACGGCGGUGUUUGGCACCUCGAUGUCGGCUCAUCACAUCCUGGGGCUGAAGUAGGUCCCAAGGGUAUGGCUGUUCGCCAUUUAAAGUGGUACGCGAGCUGGGUUUAGAACGUCGUGAGACAGUUCGGUCCCUAUCUGCCGUGGGCGCUGGAGAACUGAGGGGGGCUGCUCCUAGUACGAGAGGACCGGAGUGGACGCAUCACUGGUGUUCGG